rnacentral:rRNA from 65 species
AAAUUGAAGAGUUUGAUCAUGGCUCAGAUUGAACGCUGGCGGCAGGCCUAACACAUGCAAGUCGAACGGUAACAGGAAGCAGCUUGCUGCUUUGCUGACGAGUGGCGGACGGGUGAGUAAUGUCUGGGAAACUGCCUGAUGGAGGGGGAUAACUACUGGAAACGGUGGCUAAUACCGCAUAACGUCGCAAGACCAAAGAGGGGGACCUUCGGGCCUCUUGCCAUCAGAUGUGCCCAGAUGGGAUUAGCUUGUUGGUGAGGUAACGGCUCACCAAGGCGACGAUCCCUAGCUGGUCUGAGAGGAUGACCAGCCACACUGGAACUGAGACACGGUCCAGACUCCUACGGGAGGCAGCAGUGGGGAAUAUUGCACAAUGGGCGCAAGCCUGAUGCAGCCAUGCCGCGUGUAUGAAGAAGGCCUUCGGGUUGUAAAGUACUUUCAGCGGGGAGGAAGGUGUUGUGGUUAAUAACCGCAGCAAUUGACGUUACCCGCAGAAGAAGCACCGGCUAACUCCGUGCCAGCAGCCGCGGUAAUACGGAGGGUGCAAGCGUUAAUCGGAAUUACUGGGCGUAAAGCGCACGCAGGCGGUCUGUCAAGUCGGAUGUGAAAUCCCCGGGCUCAACCUGGGAACUGCAUUCGAAACUGGCAGGCUUGAGUCUUGUAGAGGGGGGUAGAAUUCCAGGUGUAGCGGUGAAAUGCGUAGAGAUCUGGAGGAAUACCGGUGGCGAAGGCGGCCCCCUGGACAAAGACUGACGCUCAGGUGCGAAAGCGUGGGGAGCAAACAGGAUUAGAUACCCUGGUAGUCCACGCCGUAAACGAUGUCUACUUGGAGGUUGUGCCCUUGAGGCGUGGCUUCCGGAGCUAACGCGUUAAGUAGACCGCCUGGGGAGUACGGCCGCAAGGUUAAAACUCAAAUGAAUUGACGGGGGCCCGCACAAGCGGUGGAGCAUGUGGUUUAAUUCGAUGCAACGCGAAGAACCUUACCUGGUCUUGACAUCCACAGAAGAAUCCAGAGAUGGAUUUGUGCCUUCGGGAACUGUGAGACAGGUGCUGCAUGGCUGUCGUCAGCUCGUGUUGUGAAAUGUUGGGUUAAGUCCCGCAACGAGCGCAACCCUUAUCCUUUGUUGCCAGCGGUUAGGCCGGGAACUCAAAGGAGACUGCCAGUGAUAAACUGGAGGAAGGUGGGGAUGACGUCAAGUCAUCAUGGCCCUUACGACCAGGGCUACACACGUGCUACAAUGGCGCAUACAAAGAGAAGCGACCUCGCGAGAGCAAGCGGACCUCAUAAAGUGCGUCGUAGUCCGGAUUGGAGUCUGCAACUCGACUCCAUGAAGUCGGAAUCGCUAGUAAUCGUGGAUCAGAAUGCCACGGUGAAUACGUUCCCGGGCCUUGUACACACCGCCCGUCACACCAUGGGAGUGGGUUGCAAAAGAAGUAGGUAGCUUAACCUUCGGGAGGGCGCUUACCACUUUGUGAUUCAUGACUGGGGUGAAGUCGUAACAAGGUAACCGUAGGGGAACCUGCGGUUGGAUCACCUCCUUACCUUAAAGAAGC